rnacentral:rRNA from 1 species
UACGGAGGGUGCGAGCGUUGUCCGGAAUCACUGGGCGUAAAGGGCGCGUAGGCGGCGCGGGUAGUCAUCGGUGAAAGUUCAGGGCUCAACUCUGAAUCGGCCGGUGAUACUCCCGUGCUCGAGCACUGUAGAGGCAGGUGGAAUUCCGGGUGUAGCGGUGGAAUGCGUAGAGAUCCGGAAGAACACCGGUGGCGAAGGCGGCCUGCUGG